rnacentral:tRNA from 1 species
AUGCCAUAAUCUAAAGGCUCGAAGUGCUAGGCUGCAACCCUAGUUUAGUGAGUUGAAGUCUCACAUGGCAUU